rnacentral:lncRNA from 1 species
AUGCUCACAAAGCCAGCAAAUGACCUUCCCAUCUUGCCAACAGAGCAGCAGGCGUUUCUCCCCAUGGAGGUCCCACUGAUCUGCCUGUGGGGUCAGGGUCACGUCCCCGAGCCUCUCUACUAUGUUGGCCACAUGUUGACUGGGCCUCAAGUUUUCAAUAUGCAAGGCUUCAAGGCAGGAGUGGUGGAGCACACCUGUAAUACCAGCACUUGGGAUGCUGUGGCAGGAGGAUCUUUUUGAGUUCGAGACCAGCCUGGGCUCCAAAGUGAGCUCAAGGCCAGCCUGAAGUGCAUGGUGAAACCCUGUCUCAGAAAGGGAAAGAAAGAAAGAUUGAAAGAAAGAAAGAAAGAAAGAAAGAAAGAAAGAAAGAAAGAAAGAAAAACUUCAAAUCCCCCAAGAAAAUGCAGCUUUUUCUUCGAAAGUCUUCUGAGUGCUUAACACAGCUUUGGACACCUGUGAGGUCGUGAGUCCGUGCAGAGGAGGGAACGGGUCUGCAGCGUGGCUCCAAAUUAAUUCACCAAGUAAUCAGCCAAGUGGGAUACAAAGUAAAGUAGCGUCAGCAGGGUGGGGUGGGCGGGGAAGAGACGCUCUGACCAAUGGGGCGCCCUGUGCAAGGCCGGCCUGUGAGCCCCUGGGUGAUCCUGGGAGUGGAACUUGUCAAAGAGACAGCCUCGCCCCAUUGUACUUCCCUGUUUCAGCCUACUGUGUAUGCCCUCGGCUCUGUUCUAAUUAGUAUAGCUUUAAAUUAUGUUUGAUUCUUAUUUUACUGGGAUAUUAUUCUCUUUAAUACCUUUUGCUCUGUGACCAUGUACUUUGUGACCUAA